CGAAGGGCUGUCUUAUUAGCUCAACUACCAAACUAGACACUUGUUGUUUAUUUAUAAAUAAGUAGAAAGUUACAGUGAGCUAGAACACGGUGGUUUGCGAAUACCCUUUAAAGGGUAAAAAAUACCCAUUUUCAAAUAGCAAUCAUUUCUGUCAUAAAAUGGGGAAUUUCACAAUCAUGAAAAGGGUAAAAAUAUACUCUUUUUUUGAACUUGCACACAGUGCAAAAACGGGUAAAUUUUUACUCAUUAAUGGGUGAAAAAUUAGUUGAAAUCGAAAAAUCAAUCCUGCGCGACCACCAUCAGUUGUCGGAAGAGCCGCUUGUUGAUCCGUUGAAAUUAUUGUUAAAAUUAUCAUCUUCCAGGACGCCAAGUACCCGCAAAUCUACGACCGAAAAAAAUGACGAACUUGAAAAAAAGCAGGACGCAGCAUUCACAAUAAUAAAUGUGUAACCAAAGGUAGAUUAUAAUAAAAACGGAAUAAAUUAAUGUU